rnacentral:rRNA from 1 species
UACGUAGGGUGCGAGCGUUGUCCGGAAUUAUUGGGCGUAAAGAGCUUGUAGGCGGUUUGUCGCGUCUGCUGUGAAAAUCCGGGGCUCAACCUCGGGCCUGCAGCCGAUACGGGCAGACUAGAGUUCGGCAGGGGAGACUGGAAUUCCUGGUGUAGCGGUGAAAUGCGCAGAUAUCAGGAGGAACACCGGUGGCGAAGGCGGGUCUCUGGGCCGAUACUGACACUGAGGAGCGAAAGCGUGGGGAGCGAACAGG